UUUAUUAUUUUAUUUAAGCAAACGGGAAAAAACAGAUAACCAAUGUGAGAGAGGAAAUAAAGGAAGAGAGGAAAUCGAAACCUUUUUUCUUUUCUUCUUUCCUGAAGAUGUUGCAAUUCUGGAUGGGUACGUAGAAGCUGCUUGGGUUCAAACAUGUGGAACAAUGAUUAUGGGGAAUGUCUUAGUGGCCCUAUGUGCUUUUUGGUGAAGCAGCAGGCAAUGGAAGAGACGGCUUUUGCAGCAUAUAAUCUUAGCCACAAGAGGUUGGAUUUCUAAUCCCUAAUGUCAUAUGAUCAUGGUGAUUUCCUAUCUAGGGUGUUAAAGAGGUACUAGAUGGCCAUUAUAUAACAAGCAACAAAAUAGGAGAAAGAGAAAUAUGGCUG